UAUGGGUCUGAAGCAUUGUCCA
rnacentral:siRNA from 1 species